CCCCGCCGUGUCGAACGGCGGCAGCAGCACGCCGCGGGCUGCGAAGCUGGAGCCUUUUUCGAGGUGUAAAUCGGACACGAUCAGAAGGCGCUCAUCCCCCCAGAACAACGCACCGGCGAUAUCCNNNNNNNNNNUAACGGCCUGGAUUCGAUCUGUCGCCUGCGCGCCUUGCAUCUCUCGUCAAUCCUGAUCGGGCGACAUCGCCUCUUUCACGAGUUCCUCGGCAGCCUCCGCCAGCAANUGCUUCGCCAUAAACCGCUUCGCGGCCGAUUUCCAGCAUCACCGGCACCGCCAGCGGCGAAACCCGAUCGAGUUCCUUGUGCGUGAUUCGGCCUUGGAUGCGGGUCNAUAUCGCUCAGGCGGCGAAUAUCCAAAAGGCCGGUUGCGGCAUCAGACCGCGCGGCGCGCAGCAGUACGUGAUCGGGCUGGUGCUUGCGCAGGACGUCAUAGACGAGAUCGGUCGAGAACAG
rnacentral:misc_RNA from 1 species